GAUGAACGCUGGCGGCGUGCUUAACACAUGCAAGUCGAACGAAGCGUUUAAGACAGAUUACUUCGGUUUGAAGUCUUUUAUGACUGAGUGGCGGACGGGUGAGUAACGCGUGGGUAACCUGCCUCAUACAGGGGGAUAGCAGCUGGAAACGGCUGGUAAUACCGCAUAAGCGCACAGUACCACAUGGUACAGUGUGAAAAACUCCGGUGGUAUGAGAUGGACCCGCGUCUGAUUAGCUUGUUGGCGGGGUAACGGCCCACCAAGGCGACGAUCAGUAGCCGACCUGAGAGGGUGACCGGCCACAUUGGGACUGAGACACGGCCCAGACUCCUACGGGAGGCAGCAGUGGGGAAUAUUGCACAAUGGAGGAAACUCUGAUGCAGCGACGCCGCGUGAGUGAAGAAGUAGUUCGCUAUGUAAAGCUCUAUCAGCAGGGAAGAUAGUGACGGUACCUGACUAAGAAGCUCCGGCUAAAUACGUG
rnacentral:rRNA from 1 species